rnacentral:lncRNA from 1 species
CUUAAUGGUCUUGGAAACACUUCAGUGCAAGUAUUAGAGCACAUCGUCUGAAUCUGCCUAAUUAUUUCCUGACAAUCCGCACUUUGAUUUCCAGCACUCAUGAUCCAGAUAAUAUCUGAGAACAGCUUUGUUAUUUUUAGUUUCAGUAAAAUCCAGCUAAAGGACUCGGCUGUUGGUGAAUAAGAGUCUGAUGUGGCUGCAUAAGCACUUCUGUCUUCCUCUGAAUUACAGGACAUCUGUGUUAGAAGGAGCCUCA